GUAAAUAUAGUUUAAUUAAAACAUUAGAUUGUGAAUCUAAAUAUAGAAAUCUACCACUUCUUAUUUACC
rnacentral:tRNA from 1 species